rnacentral:rRNA from 1 species
AUUGAACGCUGGCGGCAUGCUUUACACAUGCAAGUCGAACGGUAACAGGUUAAGCUGACGAGUGGCGAACGGGUGAGUAAUGCAUCGGAACGUGCCCAAUCGUGGGGGAUAACGCAGCGAAAGCUGCGCUAAUACCGCAUACGAUCUGAGGAUGAAAGCGGGGGACCGUAAGGCCUCGCGCGAUCGGAGCGGCCGAUGUCAGAGUAGGGAGUUGGUGGGGUAAAGGCUCACCAAGCCGACGAUCUGUAGCUGGUCUGAGAGGACGACCAGCCACACUGGGACUGAGACACGGCCCAGACUCCUACGGGAGGCAGCAGUGGGGAAUUUUGGACAAUGGGCGAAAGCCUGAUCCAGCAAUGCCGCGUGCAGGAAGAAGGCCUUCGGGUUGUAAACUGCUUUUGUACGGAGCGAAAAGGCUCUCUCUAAUACAGGGGGCUUAUGACGGUACCGUAAGAAUAAGCACCGGCUAACUACGUGCCAGCCGCCGCCGUAACAC